GUUGUUACUGUUCCGUCAUGAACUAAGUAUAAGGAAUAAAUUCAGUAAAUAUUGGCAACGUUGUAGAAUUAACGCAACGGCAAAUGUCUGCCCCCUACCAUUGUAGUAUUUGAAAAGUUGGUUAGAAAUGUUAAUUACAAUCAAAUGUAGAAUCUUAAGAACGGAAAUAGUGAAAUGUUAAAUUUAAAAAAAAUAUAAGUAGAUAAGUAGCAGAAAGUGUAGAUGGAAAAAUAAUAGAAGUAGCAAGUGUUUGUUAAGUGCACAAGCUUUUAUUUGGUUGCACAGUGCAUAACCUCACUUUUGGAUAUAUCAUAAAUACAUGAUAAAAGACAUCUUACCAAGUAACAUCUCUAAUUCUCAAACUACACGUUCUUCUCAAGACUUUCUGAACUGGUAAACUUAAUCUCCUUAUCCGACCCAACGUUCUGUUUUCUCUAAUCACUUGAUUCACAGGUAUAGAUAUGUUAUCCGAUGGUUUGAUCAUAUUAAAUAUCACUUUUAACGAAAAUAAAAACACAACGAAUUGAAA